AUGAUUAUUCGUUCGCCGGAACCAGAAGUAAAAAUUGUUGUGGAUAGGGAUCCUGUAAAAACAUCUUUUGAGGAAUGGGCCAGACCCGGCCAUUUCUCAAGAACACUAGCUAAGGGCCCUGAUACUACCACUUGGAUCUGGAACCUACAUGUUGAUGCUCACGAUUUCGAUAGUCAUACUGGUGAUUUGGAGGAGAUUUCACGAAAAGUCUUUAGUGCUCAUUUCGGGCAACUUUCCAUUAUCUUUCUUUGGUUGAGUGGCAUGUACUUUCAUGGUGCCCGUUUUUCCAAUUAUGAAGCAUGGCUAAGUGAUCCUACUCACAUUAGACCCAGUGCUCAGGUAGUUUGGCCUAUAGUAGGGCAAGAAAUAUUGAAUGGUGAUGUAGGUAGGGGUUUUCGAGGAAUCCAAACAGCCCCCGGGAAGAGAUCCAAGAAACAAUUUUUUUGA
rnacentral:rRNA from 1 species